GACGAACGCUGGCGGCAUGCCUAACACAUGCAAGUCGAACGGAGAAUGUCAAAUGAAGUUUUCGGAUGGAUUUUGAUAUUCUUAGUGGCGGACGGGUGAGUAACGCGUGAGCAACCUGCCUUUCAGUGGGGGACAACAGUUGGAAACGACUGCUAAUACCGCAUAAUGUAUACGGAUCGCAUGGUCUGUAUACCAAAGAUUUAUCGCUGAAAGAUGGGCUCGCGUAUGAUUAGAUAGUUGGUGAGGUAACGGCUCACCAAGUCGACGAUCAUUAGCCGGACUGAGAGGUUGAACGGCCACAUUGGGACUGAGACACGGCCCAG
rnacentral:rRNA from 1 species